rnacentral:ncRNA from 1 species
GUAAACGCGUUGAACAAGAGGAGUACGAAAUAUCUUUUGUUUAGAGACUCUAGGAUUGGUGAAACUAGAGAGAAGAUAUGAGGAAGGUCGCUUGGGAGCUUUGGCGAAAAGCCCGUAAACUUGCGUAAAAAGUAAAGUGUUUAGCUCAUGAGCUAAAAACAAAGGUGGUACCGCGCUUCUUAGCGUCCUUUGA